GGAGAGAUGGCUCAGUGGUUAAGAGCACUGACUGCUCUUCCAGAGGUCCUGAGUUCAAUCCCCAGCAACCACA
rnacentral:tRNA from 1 species